rnacentral:rRNA from 1 species
UUUUACCCGUGUGAAACUAAGCAUAUCAAUAAGCGGAGGAAAAGAAACUAACAAGGAUUCCCCUAGUAACUGCGAGUGAAGCGGGAAAAGCUCAAAUUUAAAAUCUGGUGGUCUUUGGCCAUCCGAGUUGUAAUUUAGAGAAGCGUCUUCCGCGCUGGACCGUGCACAAGUCUCCUGGAAUGGAGCGUCAUAGAGGGUGAGAAUCCCGUCUUUGGCACGGAGCCCCCAGUGCUUCUGUGAUGCGCUCUCGAAGAGUCGAGUUGUUUGGGAAUGCAGCUCAAAAUGGGUGGUGAACUCCAUCUAAAGCUAAAUAUUGGCGAGAGACCGAUAGCGAACAAGUACCGUGAGGGAAAGAUGAAAAGCACUUUGGAAAGAGAGUGAAAUAGUACGUGAAAUUGUUGAAAGGGAAACGCUUAAAGUCAGUCGCGUCGACCGAGACUCAGCCUUGCCUCGGCUUGGUGUACUUCUCGGCUUGACGGGUCAGCAUCAAUUUUGUCCCUCGGAUAAUGACAAGGGAAAGGUGGCACCUUUAUAGGUGUGUUAUAGUCUCUUGUCGCAUGCGAGGGCCAGGAUUGAGGAACUCAGCAUGCACCUCUUGGUGUCGGGGCUUCGGCUCACGUUACGUGCUUAGGAUGCUGGCGUAAUGGCUUUAAACGACCCGUCUUGAAACACGGACCAAGGAGUCUAACAUGCCCGCGAGUGUUCGGGUGGAAAACCCGUGUGCGUAAUGAAAGUAAAAGUUGGGACCUCUGUCGUGGAGGGCACCGACGCCCGGACCAGACCUUCUGUGACGGAUCUGCGGUGGAGCGUGCAUGUUGGGACCCGAAAGAUGGUGAACUAUGCCUGAAUAGGGUGAAGCCAGAGGAAACUCUGGUGGAGGCUCGUAGCGAUUCUGACGUGCAAAUCGAUCGUCAAAUUUGGGUAUAGGGGCGAAAGACUAAUCGAACCAUCUAGUAGCUGGUUCCUGCCGAAUUUCCCCUCAGGAAAAA